UAGUGAUUUCGGUUGUGCUGUUUUUUCUUAAUUUUUUUUUUGUCGUCGUCUUGCUGUCAAACAAGAUGGCGGUCCUAGCUGCUGCUGCUUUGCUCGAUGAGCUUAUGGGGAGAAAUAGAAAUGCAGUGGGCGAUAAACAGAAAGAUCUUAAUUGGGAAGAUCCAGAGUUCUGCAAGAUGCAUAUGGUCAAGUUUUGUCCACAUGAUUUGUUUGUGAACACUCGGGCUGAUCUAGGAGCAUGUUCCCGCUUACAUGACGAUGAAGCUAAAAAUCAAUUUGAGAAGUCUACCAGUUACAAGAAACAACAGUAUGAAGAUGACUUUGUGAGAUUUUGCCAGGGUAUGGUCAGUGAAGUAGAACGCAAAAUAUCCAAAGGAAAAUCUCGUCUUGCUUUGAUAGGGAAGGCCGAUACAGCUUCCUUGACCCCUGCCCAAACACAGCGAAACACUGAGCAAAUAAAUCUACUCUCUGAAAAAAUUAAUAAUCUAGUUAGCGAAGCUGAGCAAAUGGGUACGCAAGGUAAAGUUGAAGAAGCUCAAGGUUUGAUGAAACUAUGUGAUAAAUUGAAAGAGGAGCGAGAGCAACUUCGGAAACAAAAUGACAAUAGUCAUUGGCAACAGACUGCAGAUUUAGCAGCAGCGCAAGAGAAACAAAUGGAAGUUUGUGAUGUCUGUGGUGCUUUUCUUAUUGUUGGUGAUGCUCAGUCUAGAAUUGAUGACCAUCUCAUGGGCAAACAGCACAUGGGAUAUGCUAGACUUCGACAAGCCAUUGACGAAAUCCAGGCAAACAGGAACAAAGCAAGAGAGGAGAAAGAAAAGCGCAGAGAAGACGAAAGAAAAGAAAGAUAUAGAGCAAGAGAUGAGGAGGAGAAGCGCAAAGAGCGAGAACGAGAUGAGAGGAGGAAACGUCGGGAAGAAGAGGAAGAGGCUCUAAGGAGAAGAAAUCGAGAUAGGAGUCCUGGUAGGCACCGCCGGAGGAGCCGAAGCAGAGACAGAGAACGUGAAAGGCCAAAUCGUCAUGAUGACCGAUAUAGGGAAUAUGGUAGAGAACAGAGAGACCGUGAAAAGGAAAAACACAGGUCUUCUUCUAUGCAAAACAGCCGUGAUUGGAAGGAGUCAUACAGGAGAGACCGGGGUGAUGACCAGCAUGAAUAUAGGCGAGAGGAAGAUAGAGAUCGCCACAGGCGAGAAAAAGGAAUGAAUGGGGAAGCUUCAAGACACAGCAAGAGUCAUCACAGUAGCAGAUCACACCGUCAUGAUCGCGAUGGUUAUGAUGAUGGCCGCAAAGGUUAUGAUGAGGAAGUUCCAAGAAGCCGUCAUAUGCAGGAUGCUUAUGAAGAUGGGCACAACGACAAUCACUGAUCACUGAGGUACAGGCUCUCUCUGAAAGGUAAGUGACUUCAUUAAAAUUAGAUCAAUAUUUGUAUCUGUUCACCUCACAUCAUCCAAAAUUUCCCUUUGUUGCGAGGAAAUAGUUUAUUUUACUUCAUGUUACUGUCAAUUCUCUGUAUCUCAGUAACCUAACAGCUUUCUCAAUGAUUAAAAGGAAAAAAAUCAUCUAAUACAAAAUGGUGUUGUGUACCAUUUAUAUUGGAUCAUGUGAUGUGGACAUUCAAUCUAUAUAGCAAAUAAUGGUUCAGGUGCCUCCACCUGAUAUCUAGCACCAAAAACUUUCAGCAAGGUAGCCAAUUUGAAGUCAUACAAGUCAUUUAUCCUAUUGCCUUCAAAGUAGUGUCUGUGCAAGCAUGAAAUACAUUGCUACUUAUUAGGGUCUAACUUUUCAACUAACUAACCUUUCUUAUCUCUGUUUCUCUCUACUUUAAAAUUAACAUUUCAACUUUGUGCUAUUCUUUUGACUAGCAACAAAAUAUCACAAAAUUUAUCUAGAAUCUUAAAGUCUUCUCAUUCUUUUUUUUUUUUAUUGUUUCAUCUUUAUUUCUGCCUUGUAUAGAUUGAAGCAAGUUAACUGUGGCUUAUCUGUGUGUUGUAUGCUACAGUAAGAGUACUUGCUUUGUUUUUUAGUAUGUUUUCAUCAGCAUCAUCACGCCAACGUGGUUCAUAUUGGAAUUGGAGCACUUGAUCACAAGGUGGGGUAGUCUUGAAGUCCACAAUGGGAAGCAGUAUUCCACCAAGCACACGCCUCACCAUGCUGAUGUCAAGGUGACUUAGAUUGUAAGAAUAGCAUGUCUUAAAAGAAAUGUCAUCCAUCUAACAAUCAGAUAACAAUGGCUGGGAAACGCUGAUAUAAGUGUGUCAAGUAAUGCAUUGUUCAUUUUUUGUUUUCUUAUAAGUGCCAAGAAGGGCCAUCAUAUCUUUCACCUUAAACUUCUGUUAGUGUGACUAAAUUAAAAUGGUUUGUUUAGGACUUCACAAAAUGGAGUGGAAGCUUUACCCACCAAUUUUUGUGUAAACUAUUAGCAGUAUGUUCAUACAAAAAAAUUGAGUGCAACACUUUUAUUGCAUUUCCUGCCGCGGCCCACGAUUUUUCUCAUUUUUUUUUUUGUUGUCUUUUUGUAUUAUUGUAUUCAUGGUAGAUAAGAAAUGAGUUUAUCAAUUUGGGCUGUGAUCCACUUAUGAUUAGAACAGACCAUACUUGUUUUUGUGCCUUCUGAUGCACAAUGUUAAAUAUACUGUGAUUGUUAGGGAGCUCAGUACAUUUAAAUGCCUCGUACCUUUUAUAUUGAUGCUUAUUUCAUCAAAUUCAAAGUGGUAAUAAAGUUGAAAUUAAAAUAAAAA